rnacentral:rRNA from 1 species
CUACGGGAGGCUCCAGUGGGGAAUAUUGGACAAUGGGGGAAACCCUGAUCCAGCAAUGCCGCGUGUGUGAAGAAGGCCUGCGGGUUGUAAAGCACUUUCGGUUGGGAGGACUGCUUCUAGCACUAAUAUUGUUGGAAGUUGACGUUACCUUCAGAAGAAGCACCGGCUAACUCCGUGCCAGCAGCCGCGGUAAUACGGAGGGUGCAAGCGUUAAUCGGAAUUACUGGGCGUAAAGCGCGCGUAGGCGGCUAGAUCAGUCGGGUGUGAAAGCCCCGGGCUUAACCUGGGAACUGCAUCCGAUACUGUCUAGCUUGAGUACAGGAGAGGAGAGUGGAAUUCCACAUGUAGCGGUGAAAUGCGUAGAUAUGUGGAGGAACACCAAUGGCGAAGGCAGCUCUCUGGCCUGAUACUGACGCUGAGGUGCGAAGGCGUGGGGAGCAAACAGGAUUAGAUACCCGGGUAGUC